rnacentral:rRNA from 1 species
GACAAACAAGGCCAAAUUAAGACAAGUACAGUAAAAAAGGGGGUUAGGGAAUUAAUGGUAAAUACAUGUUACCAACUUUAUAAAAAAGAUUAUGUCUUCUGUAGAGGUGGAAUUUGUGCAGAAUAAACAACCUCUUACUUUUUUUUAUCCUGAGGCCCCGAAAUCUUAAUUAAAAACCGGGAUUAGAUACCCCGUUAUUUAAGGUGUAAAUUUUAAUUUCAAAAUAUUUACUUGAGUAUUACGAGUUCUAUAACUUAAUGUAGAGAUAACUUAAAACUCAAAAAACUUGGCGGUGCCUUAAAUCCUUUCAGGGGAACCUGUCCUAUAAUCGAUAGUCCACGAUUCACCUUUCCUUUUUUUGAAUGACUCAGUCUGUAUACCGUCGUCGCCAGAUUACCUCUAAGAGUAAAGAAGUUAUCUAAAGGAAAAUCAUAAAGAUAGGACCCAAUUUUACAUCAUAAAAAUCAACUAGUUUUAUGUUUUCUGAACGUCAGAUCAAGGUGCAGCUUAUAAAAAGGAAGAGAUGGGUUACAAUAAAUAAUUAUUAUUUACGGAUUUCUUUUUGUAAAAUAAAAGUUUAAAGGAGGACUUGAAAGUAAUUAACGAGAAGUAGAGAGUCUCGGUGAAAAUGGCCCUAAGGCGUGC